AGCCGUGCGGUGACCAUAAAGCGAACUAUUCUUUCGCCUUUUACUUAAUAAUAUACCGUGUGUUCGUCGCUUAAAGCAGCAUACGCCUCUUUUGGAGGGUAUUUCCUUAGUGUCCC